AGCAAAGCCAGGAUGCACUGAGGACAAUUUUCUAGAAAAAAGUCAAAAGAAGUUGUUAGGAAAGGGAACUGAUCUUUCACAUAGCAGUAUUGCCUUAUUGAUGCUUCAUAAUUACAGAUUAUGUUACCUGCGGCAAAUAUUCAGAUAGUCUGGAGAAAAAAAAAAAGAAAAGAAAGGAAGAUAGUGAUUACUUUUAAUUUCAGUUCAGAGUUCUCAAUCCUUGUCAGGGUUACUUUAUGUGAAUCUUUUUAUUCAAGUGAUUUCAAUUCCCUGCUUCAGUCACACGUAUUUUGGAAUAGAAAAAAAACAGCAGUCAUCUGUUCUCACCAGUUUUCUGUUUGUCGUCCCCCAACCCCCGCCCCAGGAACUUGCUCAACACUACAGAUGGUCACAGUCUCAGCCUGCGGUCUUCAUUUCUCUGCUCUCAUUGUUCCAGCUGUUCCUUUCUAGGAGUGCAGCAUAUCUCAGAAGUAAGUGCUAUAGAGACCUGUUUUACCAUCUGCAAUACAUAAAGGUUUAUUUAUGUCGUGCUCGUAAGUGUGUUGUUUUACUAAGCAUCUCCCUUGUAAAUUUUACACUCCUCUGGGAGAAGUAGUUUCCUUGUCUGUAGUUAAUGUACUGUACACAGUAACCUCCCAUCCACGGAAGCAGAUCACACUAAUGAGUGAUCAUCGUGGUGCAGGUAGAUCAUUCAGAUAAAUGCAACACAGAACUGAAACUGUCGGAAAUGCUUGAAUUCUCUCCAUAAUGUGUGUGAUUCACUGUCCUGUUGUUCAUUUCCCUGAGGAUAAACAAUGUUAAAUACCCUCCUUGUAUGUAUUUUGAACCGGGAGAAUGUCCCUAAACUAUCCGUUAUGGCUUGAAUUUUGUCUUUCAAAAUUCCUCUGUGAAAUCCUACAUUCAAGUAUUCAUGUAUGACCUUACUUUGAAAUAAGGUCUUUGCAGAUAUAAUUAUUUAAGCUAGAAUGAGGUCCUACUCAAGUAACAUAAGCCCCUAAUUAAGAACGACUGACAUCCUUAUGAAAACGUGGGGACAUUUGUAUAAAGUGAGGCACACGGGGUGCAGGCCAAGGAAACAGACUUAAAGCAAGGAUGGCCGUCCACAAACCAGCGGUAGGAACCUGGAACACUUCCUUCCCUGACCGUCCUUGGAGGAAUUCACUCUACAGACAUCUGAUUUCAGACUUCUAGAUUCCAGAACCCUGAGACAACAAACUUCUGUUGUUGUAAGCUACCCAACUUGUGGCACUUUGUAAAAAUCACCCUAACAGUCAUGAAUCAUCAGUACAAGAAGCAUCUGGCUCUUCACUACUCUGUCUAUGGUCACUAAUCCUAUUGAUGUACUGUUAUCUGCUUCUUCUCAGGGUUGCACCAUGGUGUCUGAUAUUCAUUUGAAUUUGCAAGGACAAAAUCAACAGAGCUGCUGGUUAAUUGUGAAACUCCACACAGCAUGUCUUCUAAGUUGAGGGUGUCGAAAAGGCAAAUACCUUCAUCACGAGUUGGAUUUGAACACAAAUGUGUAUACAUCUUUCCUUUGCUGCAAGACUGUUGAAUAGACACUCACAAACAUUUGGUGUGUCUGUACUUUUCUUCUCUGUAAAAAUAAAAGCCUCAAGUAAGAUGAUGAAGCAAACUUGAAGGGAUUAAUCAGCCUAAAACAUAAGCUGUUCAUCCAUUAAAUGAGAUAAGACACAGCCAUGUUAGUUUUUUAACCUGAAAUAAGAAUUAAAAGACGAUCUUAGGAAAAAUGCAGAAUAUCAAAAUGAAAUGAUUGGCCCUCUGCCAUAACUCAUGUGGGGAAAAAAAAUCCCUUCAGUCAGAUUCUCUCAGAAACCCAAGGAAAGGGGCAAAGAUAAGGGUUAAGGUGUGACUCUACUUAGCACAAGAACUGAGAAAAUGAAAGGCAUAGCCUCUCCUGAUGGACAUUCAAAAAAAAAAAAAAGAA